rnacentral:misc_RNA from 1 species
AUUUACUUCCCUUUCAUAGAUUUAGGUCUCAUCAUUCAUAAAUUCAGUGCAUCUCCCAAAUUUCCAUGGCAACCACCUCUCACUGGCUCAACUCAAUUCGCCAAAUAACCAUGCUGAAACAGUUCAUAAAGCAAUGGAAGCGCGCAGCCCUCCUCUCUCCCUCACAAUACUCGUCUAAUUCCGGUUCAAGCCGUCACAUUCCCUCCGGUUUCCUGGCGGUCUACGUUGGACAAAACCGCAUGAGAUUCUUGAUCCCAGUCCGAUUUCUGCACCUUCCAAUCUUUAUAGCCCUUCUUGAAAAAGCAGAAGAAGAAUAUGGUUUCAAGUUCAGCG